rnacentral:lncRNA from 1 species
GCUCUCCAGCGGAUGGACCCAGGCGAUCUGACACUCAGAGGGUGAGAGUCCAUGAUGUGGGAGUGAAGGAACACACGAGAGCUCAUCUCUUGAUCUACAACCAGGAGGCACAGAAGUGCAGGCAUGCUGCGAAGUGCAGGAGCCUUUUGAUACCCCAGGGACACAUCUCCUCCAACAAGACACAAUACUUCCUAAACCUAAACAGUCCUACUGAUUAGGGACCAAAUUCUUGAAUAUAUGAAUGAGCUAAUAGGGCCCUUCUCUCUUAAAUCAACUGCUCUUUUCAUCUUCUGUUAUCACUGCAGGGCGCUGAGCAUCCACCCACAGAAAUCUGUUGCUUCCUGAAACUGCUGCAGUCUAGGAGGUCAAAUAACAGCUACUCCUUUGGCAUUUAAUCCGUGUAUACUUUUGUAUAGGACAGCCUCGUUACUGAAAAGCUAGAAUUGAGCUUCACUCACAGUGCCUUGCUUAUAUCAAACACAAUAUCUAAUGUAUGAAGAAAUCACUAAGCACCUUAACUUCGGGGAGAGACACAUCAGAUACGCAUUUUGAUUAUAUACAUUCGAAUUGUUAAAUGUUUUAAACACAAAGGAGCAUAGAAUAUGAACUGCUAACGCUAGGUACCCAGAUUUAAUAGGCGAGGAACGUUGUCAUGUUUCACCUUCAGGAAAGGAAGGAUUGAAAAAUGCAAUACCAUUUUCCUUAAAAAAAAUAUUCUCCCAGGGAUGGAGAGGCGCUUCAGUAGCGAAGAGCACUUGCUGCUCUUAUAGAGGACCAAGGUUCUGUUCCUAGCACCCACAUGGUGGCUCACAACCAUCUGCAG